UACGUAGGGUGCGAGCGUUAAUCGGAAUUACUGGGCGUAAAGCGUGUGCAGGCGGUUUGUUAAGACAGGUGUGAAAUCCCCGGGCUUAACCUGGGAAUUGCGCUUGUUACUGGCAAGCUAGAGUGCGUCAGAGGGAGGUGGAAUCCACGUGUAGCAGUGAAAUGCGUAGAGAUGUGGAGGAACACCGAUGGCGAAGGCAGCCUCCUGGGAUGACACUGACGCUCAUACACGAAAGCG
rnacentral:rRNA from 1 species